rnacentral:rRNA from 1 species
CCUACGGGUGGCAGCAGUGAGGAAUAUUGGUCAAUGGGCGCGAGCCUGAUCCAGCCAAGUAGCGUGAAGGAUGACUGCCCUACGGGUUGUAAACUUUUUUUAUAAAGGAAUAAAGAGAGGCACGUGUGCCUUUUUGUAUGUACUUUAUGAAUAAGGAUCGGCUAACUCCGUGCCAGCAGCCGCGGUAAUACGGAGGAUACGAGUGUUAUCCGGAUUGAUUGGGGUUAAAGGGAGCGUAGAUGGGUUGUUAAGUCAGUUGUGAAAGUUUGCGGCUCAACCGUAAAAUUGCAAUGGAUACUGGCAGUCUUGAGUACAGUUGAGGUAGGCGGAAUUCGUGGUGUAGCGGUGAAAUGCGUAGAUAUUAGGAAGAACACCGAUUGCGAAGGCAGCUUACUAAACUGCCACUGACAUUGAUGCUCGAAAGUGUGGGUAGCAAACAGGAUUAGAUACCCUAGUAGUC